rnacentral:rRNA from 1 species
GACGAACGCUGGCGGCGUGCUUAACACAUGCAAGUCGAACGGAAAGGCCCUGCUUGCAGGGUACUCGAGUGGCGAACGGGUGAGUAACACGUGGGUGAUCUGCCCUGCACUUCGGGAUAAGCCUGGGAAACUGGGUCUAAUACCGGAUAGGAGCCAUUUUUAGUGUGAUGGUUGGAAAGUUUUUUCGGUGUAGGAUGAGCUUGCGGCCUAUCAGCUUGUUGGUGGGGUAAUGGCCUACCAAGGCGGCGACGGGUAGCCGGCCUGGGAGGGUGGACGGGCACAUUGGGACUGGGAUACGGCCCAGACUCCUACGGGGGGCAGAAGUGGGGAAGAUUGCACAAUGGGGGCAAGCCUGAUGCAGCGACGCCGCGUGGGGGAUGACGGCCUUCGGGUUGUAAACUCCUUUCGCUAGGGACGAAGCUUUUUGUGACGGUACCUAGAGAAGAAGCACCGGCUAACUACGUG